GACGAACGCUGGCGGCGUGCUUAACACAUGCAAGUCGAACGGAAAGGCCCUGCUUUUGUGGGGUGCUCGAGUGGCGAACGGGUGAGUAACACGUGAGUAACCUGCCCUUGACUUUGGGAUAACUUCAGGAAACUGGGGCUAAUACCGGAUAGGAGCUCCUGCUGCAUGGUGGGGGUUGGAAAGUUUCGGCGGUUGGGGAUGGACUCGCGGCUUAUCAGCUUGUUGGUGGGGUAGUGGCUUACCAAGGCUUUGACGGGUAGCCGGCCUGAGAGGGUGACCGGCCACAUUGGGACUGAGAUACGGCCCAGACUCCUACGGGAGGCAGCAGUGGGGAAUAUUGCACAAUGGGCGGAAGCCUGAUGCAGCAACGCCGCGUGCGGGAUGAAGGCCUUCGGGUUGUAAACCGCUUUCGCCUGUUACGAAGCGUGAGUGACGGUAAUGGGUAAAGAAGCACCGGCUAACUACGUG
rnacentral:rRNA from 1 species